UGCUUUCCAUGCAGUCGUACGAGAGUAAGUUUACUUACUCAAGUGGCGGACGGGUGAGUAACACGUAAGAAUUUACCUUUAGGAGGGGGAUAACAGCUGGAAACGGAUGCUAAUACCCCAUAUGCUUUCGAGUGAAAUGGAUUUCCGCCUAAAGAGAAGCUUGCGUCUGAUUAGCUUGUUGGUGAGGUAAUGGCUUACCAAGGCGACGAUCAGUAUCUGGUUUGAGAGGACGAUCAGACACACUGGAACUGAGACACGGUCCAGACUCCUACGGGAGGCAGCAGUGGGGAAUUUCCCGCAAUGGGCGAAAGCCUGACGGAGCAAUACCGCGUGAGGGAUGAAUGCCUAUGGGUUGUAAACCUCUUUUUUCAGGGAGGAAUAAAUGACGUGUACCUGAAGAAUAAGCAUCGGCUAACUCCGUGCCUGCAGCCGCGGUAAGACGGAGGAUGCAAGUGUUAUCCGGAAUCACUGGGCGUAAAGCGUCUGUAGGUGGUUAAAUAAGUCAACUGUUAAAUCUUGAGGCUCAACCUCAAAAUCGCAGUCGAAACUAUUAGACUAGAGUAUAGUAGGGGUAAAGGGAAUUUCCAGUGGAGCGGUGAAAUGCGUAGAGAUUGGAAAGAACACCAAUGGCGAAGGCACUUUACUGGGCUAUUACUAACACUCAGAGACGAAAGCUAGGGGAGCGAAUAGGAUUAGAUACCCUAGUAGUCCUAGCUGUAAACGAUGGAAACUA
rnacentral:rRNA from 1 species